rnacentral:lncRNA from 1 species
AGAGACGCACACGACAAACCACGGACACAUGACAGACGCGAACGGCACCAGGACUACACCGGAUCAACGGCUGAGAAUUCACAUCCCACCACGGAGGCGGAGCACCAGGUGGAGGGUAGACUCCUUUUGGAUAUUGUAAUCCGCGAGAGUCCUCCCGUCCUCCAGUUGCUUCCCGGCGAAGAUCAGCCUCUGCUGGUCCGGCGGAAUCCCCUCCUUAUCCUGGAUCUUCGCCUUCACGUUGUCAAUAGUGUCCGAGCUCUCCACCUCGAGGGUGAUCGUCUUACCCGUGAGAGUCUUCACGAAGAUUUGCAUCCCUCCCCUAAGGCGGAGCACCAAGUGGAGGGUCGACUCCUUCUGGAUAUUAUAGUCGGCGAGGGUCCUGCCGUCUUCAAGCUGUUUCCCGGCGAAGAUGAGCCUCUGCUGGUCCGGGGGGAUGCCCUCCUUGUCCUGGAUCUUCGCCUUGACGUUGUCAAUCGUGUCCGAGGACUCGACCUCCAGGGUGAUGGUUUUGCCGGUGAGGGUCUUGACGAAGAUCUGCAUCCCACCGCGGAGACGGAGGACGAGGUGGAGGGUGGACUCCUUCUGGAUAUUGUAAUCGGCGAGUGUCCUGCCAUCUUCAAGCUGUUUUCCGGCGAAGAUUAGCCUCUGCUGGUCUGGGGGGAUGCCCUCCUU